rnacentral:rRNA from 1 species
UACGUAGGUGGCAAGCGUUGUCCGGAAUUAUUGGGCGUAAAGCGAGCGCAGGCGGUUUCUUAAGUCUGAUGUGAAAGCCCCCGGCUCAACCGGGGAGGGUCAUUGGAAACUGGGAGACUUGAGUGCAGAAGAGGACAGUGGAACUCCAUGUGUAGCGGUGAAAUGCGUAGAUAUAUGGAAGAACACCAGUGGCGAAGGCGGCUGUCUGGUCUGUAACUGACGCUGAGGCGCGAAAGCGUGGGGAGCAAACAGG